rnacentral:rRNA from 1 species
GAUGAACACUGGCGGCGUGCCUAAUACAUGCAAGUCGAGCGAACAGAUGAGGAGCUUGCUCCUCUGACGUUAGCGGCGGACGGGUGAGUAACACGUGGAUAACCUACCUAUAAGACUGGGAUAACUUCGGGAAACCGGAGCUAAUACCGGAUAAUAUAUUGAACCGCAUGGUUCAAUAGUGAAAGACGGUUUUGCUGUCACUUAUAGAUGGAUCCGCGCCGCAUUAGCUAGUUGGUAAGGUAACGGCUUACCAAGGCAACGAUGCGUAGCCGACCUGAGAGGGUGAUCGGCCACACUGGAACUGAGACACGGUCCAGACUCCUACGGGAGGCAGCAGUAGGGAAUCUUCCGCAAUGGGCGAAAGCCUGACGGAGCAACGCCGCGUGAGUGAUGAAGGUCUUCGGAUCGUAAAACUCUGUUAUUAGGGAAGAACAAAUGUGUAAGUAACUAUGCACGUCUUGACGGUACCUAAUCAGAAAGCCACGGCUAACUACGU